rnacentral:rRNA from 1 species
CCUACGGGUGGCAGCAGUGAGGAAUAUUGGUCAAUGGGCUUACGCCUGAACCAGCCAAGUCGCGUGAGGGAAGACUGCCCUAUGGGUUGUAAACCUCUUUUGUCGGGGAGCAACGCCGACUACGUGUAGCCGGACUGAGAGUACCUGAAGAAAAAGCAUCGGCUAACUCCGUGCCAGCAGCCGCGGUAAUACGGAGGAUGCGAGCGUUAUCCGGAUUUAUUGGGUUUAAAGGGUGCGUAGGCGGAAUAUCAAGUCAGCGGUAAAAAUUCGGGGCUCAACCCCGUCGUGCCGUUGAAACUGGUGGUCUUGAGUGGGCGAGAAGUAUGCGGAAUGCGUGGUGUAGCGGUGAAAUGCAUAGAUAUCACGCAGAACGCCGAUUGCGAAGGCAGCAUACCGGCGCCCAACUGACGCUGAAGCACGAAAGCGUGGGGAUCGAACAGGAUUAGAUACCCUAGUAGUC